rnacentral:lncRNA from 1 species
AUGGUCUCAGACAUCACACAAGCCUUCCAGAAAGAACCCAUCUGCCUCUUCUGUCUGAACUAACUCAUAGACCCCAUCACCACAGGCUGCGGCCCCAGCUUCUGUAGGCCUUUCCUGUCUCUGCCUUUCCUGGGAAGAAGCCAAAAUUCCUACCGGCUGCCCACAUGCGGGGAACUGUCACAGCAGGAGGACGUCAAAACUAAUAUUCUUCUGGAGAUUCCAGUGUUCAUUGCCAUAAAAGCCAGUCUCUGGCAAUUCCUGAGCUCUAAUGAACAAAUGUGUGGGAUCCACAGGGAGAAAAAAAGAUAUUGGAGCGGUGGAUAAGAGCCUGCUUCAUUUGCUGUUCUGGAACACUCGGGAACACUGGGCUCCCAGACACUGUGAGGGGCAACUAAGGAACACUGGGAGACGAUAAUGAAGCAAAUGAGAUCUUUUUGGGAAAAAAUUCAAGAAAACCAAAGAAAGCUAAAUGAGGAGAGCAGGAAAACCAACCAGUGGGAGUGAGUCAGAGCAGCGGCACAUGCCCCAGUGUGUGAGCUCAGAGCUCAGUGCUCAACCCAUCACUGGACUAAUGGACAGAUUUCAUGACUUCCAGGUGAGUGUC